UGCUGUUGCCGCGUUUCUUUGUUCAUUGCCUGGGAUAAUUCCCCGGCGCUUACGGCAGCGCAUCAUGAGUACGUAAUAUACACCAAUCAGCGCGCUUGGCUCUUCCCAUACAUCGCCACUGCGGGCUUUGCCUCUGGCCUGGCGAUAUAUAUAAAUUGCCGUUUUUCGGAAUCGUUUCUUCCAGAGUAAACUUGUGAAAUAUUCACUUCCGCAUCAUAUCGCUUUGCUACUUUUCAACAUUUUCGAUUUGUCCUUUGUUUAGUGUUGCACCUGUGGAUUACAGUACUAUAACACCCGCGAAAACUAUGGAUCCUGCUGGUCAAGCAAACCGCGCUAACCAGUGCAACCCCACCCAUACCCCGUCCGGACCGGGUCGCGAUGCCGGGUACAAGGGAGACGGCAGCCAGCCCGAUCGCGACAACCAUGCUAAUCAGGGAAAUCCCAACAAUGCCAACUACGGCGGCGGCCAGCAGCAGCAACCAGGAAAGAAGUAGUUGACCAGCGACAGUGCGUUCAUCAUGUGUAUGCCAGUCUGGAGUUAGAAUUGGUAGGAGUAUGUGUUGCCGGCAUGUGUCGUCGUCGUUGUUUUUUAUUUCCUGUAAUCAUUGCGAUAGGAAUUAUAGCUUUCGUAUUAGGAAAUGGGGAAAUGAUGAACGUUGCUUGUGUUCCGAAGUCGCGAGUGUUUGAGUAGUGCUGACACUUUCCAGUAACUCUUGUGAAAAUGUUAAUAAAAAAUAUAAAAUAAACAAUAAUUGACGGUUUGAA